rnacentral:rRNA from 1 species
AGUGAACGCUGGCGGUAGGCCUAACACAUGCAAGUCGAACGGCAGCACAGUAAGAGCUUGCUCUUACGGGUGGCGAGUGGCGGACGGGUGAGGAAUACAUCGGAAUCUACUUUUUCGUGGGGGAUAACGUAGGGACACUUACGCUAAUACCGCAUACGACCUACGGGUGAAAGCAGGGGAUCUUCGGACCUUGCGCGAUCGAAUGAGCCGAUGUCGGAUUAGCUAGUUGGCGGGGUAAAGGCCCACCAAGGCGACGAUCCGUAGCUGGUCUGAGAGGAUGAUCAGCCACACUGGAACUGAGACACGGUCCAGACUCCUACGGGAGGCAGCAGUGGGGAAUAUUGGACAAUGGGCGCAAGCCUGAUCCAGCCAUACCGCGUGGGUGAAGAAGGCCUUCGGGUUGUAAAGCCCUUUUGUUGGGAAAGAAAAGCAGCAGGUUAAUACCCCGCUGUUCUGACGGUACCCAAAGAAUAAGCACCGGCUAACUUCGUG